rnacentral:lncRNA from 1 species
AUAACUGUGCUGUGAAAAGUGCUGGAGUCCAUCUCUGGUGGGGUUCUGGAACCUGAAGACAGAUGUGUGGUCUCCGCAAAAGUGAGGACUCUGACUACCUGUUAGACCUUUCAACCAAGUGGCACUGAAUAGCUCGAGUCAUCUUUCUUUAAACAAUCUUUCUUUAAACAUUCACAAGCCUGCUCCCAGGAGCAGUGAUAUUAUUGGUUAUUCUACUUAAUGAAAUCAUAACAUCAGCAUUAUAAAAGCCCCAUCACUGUAAAAGCCCCCAAUAGUUUCCCUUCCUCCUUCCCAUCUCCUGCUAUCGAUUGAGGAAUGUAAGCUCCAGGGAUGUGGCAGACAGCAUCUGGUGUGCUCCAACUCAGAGAAGCCUUCGUGUAGCAAAAAGAUGUUACAGAUAUUUCCCUUAGCAAACAAGGAUCAGAAACUCUAUACACAAUGCAGGAUUUUCACAUGCCUCUUUCUGCUCAUUUAUGAUAC